GACGAACGCUGGCGGCGUGCCUAAUACAUGCAAGUAGAACGCUGAAGGAAGGAGCUUGCUCUUUCUGGAUGAGUUGCGAACGGGUGAGUAACGCGUAGGUAACCUGCCUGGUAGCGGGGGAUGACUAUUGGAAACGAUAGCUAAUACCGCAUAAAAUUGAUUAUUGCAUGAUAGUCAAUUAAAAGGUGCAACUGCACCACUACCAGAUGGACCUGCGUUGUAUUAGCUAGUUGGUGGGGUAACGGCUCACCAAGGCGACGAUACAUAGCCGACCUGAGAGGGUGAUCGGCCACACUGGGACUGAGACACGGCCCAGACUCCUACGGGAGGCAGCAGUAGGGAAUCUUCGGCAAUGGACGGAAGUCUGACCGAGCAACGCCGCGUGAGUGAAGAAGGUUUUCGGAUCGUAAAGCUCUGUUGUAAGAGAAGAACGAGUGUGAGAGUGGAAAGUUCACACUGUGACGGUAUCUUACCAGAAAGGGACGGCUAACUACGUG
rnacentral:rRNA from 1 species